GGGUUGUGAGGUUAAGCGACUAAGCGUACACGGUGGAUGCCCUGGCAGUCAGAGGCGAUGAAGGGCGUGCUAAUCUGCGAUAAGCGCCGGUAAGGUGAUAUGAACCGUUAUAACCGGCGAUACCCGAAUGGGGAAACCCAGUGUGACUCGUCACACUAUCAUUAACUGAAUCCAUAGGUUAAUGAGGCGAACCGGGGGAACUGAAACAUCUAAGUACCCCGAGGAAAAGAAAUCAACCGAGAUUCCCCCAGUAGCGGCGAGCGAACGGGGAGGAGCCCAGAGCCUGAAUCAGCAUGUGUGUUAGUGGAAGCGUCUGGAAAGGCGCGCGAUACAGGGUGACAGCCCCGUACACAAAAGCGCAUGUGCUGUGAGCUCGAUGAGUAGGGCGGGACACGUGGUAUCCUGUCUGAAUAUGGGGGGACCAUCCUCCAAGGCUAAAUACUCCUGACUGACCGAUAGUGAACCAGUACCGUGAGGGAAAGGCGAAAAGAACCCCGGCGAGGGGAGUGAAAAAGAACCUGAAACCGUGUACGUACAAGCAGUGGGAGCACCCUUUGGGUGUGACUGCGUACCUUUUGUAUAAUGGGUCAGCGACUUAUAUUCUGUAGCAAGGUUAACCGAAUAGGGGAGCCGGAGGGAAACCGAGUCUUAAUUGGGCGUUAAGUUGCAGGGUAUAGACCCGAAACCCGGUGAUCUAGCCAUGGGCAGGUUGAAGGUUGGGUAACACUAACUGGAGGACCGAACCGACUAAUGUUGAAAAAUUAGCGGAUGACCUGUGGCUGGGGGUGAAAGGCCAAUCAAACCGGGAGAUAGCUGGUUCUCCCCGAAAGCUAUUUAGGUAGCGCCUCGUGAAUUCAUCUCCGGGGGUAGAGCACUGUUUCGGCUAGGGGGCCAUCCCGGCUUACCAACCCGAUGCAAACUGCGAAUACCGGAGAAUGUUAUCACGGGAGACACACGGCGGGUGCUAACGUCCGUCGUGAAGAGGGAAACAACCCAGACCGCCAGCUAAGGUCCCAAAGUCAUGGUUAAGUGGGAAACGAUGUGGGAAGGCCCAGACAGCCAGGAUGUUGGCUUAGAAGCAGCCAUCAUUUAAAGAAAGCGUAAUAGCUCACUGGUCGAGUCGGCCUGCGCGGAAGAUGUAACGGGGCUAAACCAUGCACCGAAGCUGCGGCAGCGAACGUAUCACUUAAAGCGAUUCAGCGGGUUACGAUUGACGGAGCGAAGCGACGUCAAAGCGUAUACAAAGUCGAGUCGGUUUAAGGAUACGUUCGUUGGGUAGGGGAGCGUUCUGUAAGCCUG
rnacentral:rRNA from 2 species